rnacentral:rRNA from 1 species
AGACGAGAUUACCCGCUGAAUUUAAGCAUAUUAAUAAGCGGAGGAAAAGAAACUAACCAGGAUUCCCCUAGUAACGGCGAGUGAAGCGGGAAUAGCCCAGCACCGAAUCGCACGCCGUCAGGCGUCGCGAACUGUGGUGUUUAGGACGAGCGCAUGCGCGUCGGAGCGGCGUCCGAGUCCUCCUGAUUGGGGCUUUGCCAUAGCGGGUGUCAGCCCUCUACGGCGCCGCGACGACGUGCCGGCCACGUCCUCGGAGUCGGGUUGUUUGAGAAUGCAGCCCAAAGCUGGUGGUAAACUCCAUCUAAGGCUAAAUACUGACACGAGUCCGAUAGUGAACAAGUACUGUGAAGGAAAGGUGAAAAGCACCGCGGGAGCGGAGUGAAAUAGAACCUGAAAUCGUACGCUUACAAGGUAUGGAAGCCCGUAAGGGUGACCGUGUGCCUUUUGUAGCAUGAG